rnacentral:rRNA from 1 species
UGGUUAAGUGACUAAGCGUACACGGUGGAUGCCUUGGCAGUCAGAGGCGAUGAAGGACGUAUUAACUUGCGAUAAGCCCAGAUUAGGUAGUAAAAACCAUUUGAGUCUGGGAUUUCCGAAUGGGGAAACCCACUAGCAUAAGCUAGUAUCGCUGCGUGAAUACAUAGCGCAGCGAGGCGAACCGGGGGAACUGAAACAUCUAAGUACCCCGAGGAAAAGAAAUCAACCGAGAUUCCGAAAGUAGCGGCGAGCGAAAUUGGACUAGCCCUUAAGCUUUUUAUGCGUCAGGUGAAACUUCUGGAAAGUUGUGCGAUACAGGGUGAUAGCCCCGUAACCGGCAACGCAUUUAAAGUGAAAUCGAGUAGGGCGGGACACGUGAUAUCCUGUCUGAAUAUGGGGGGACCAUCCUCC